rnacentral:rRNA from 1 species
GACGAACGCUGGCGGCGUGCCUAAUACAUGCAAGUUGAGCGCUGAAGGUUGGUACUUGUACCAACUGGAUGAGCAGCGAACGGGUGAGUAACGCGUGGGGAAUCUGCCUUUGAGCGGGGGACAACAUUUGGAAACGAAUGCUAAUACCGCAUAAAAACUUUAAACACAAGUUUUAAGUUUGAAAGAUGCAAUUGCAUCACUCAAAGAUGAUCCCGCGUUGUAUUAGCUAGUUGGUGAGGUAAAGGCUCACCAAGGCGAUGAUACAUAGCCGACCUGAGAGGGUGAUCGGCCACAUUGGGACUGAGACACGGCCCAAACUCCUACGGGAGGCAGCAGUAGGGAAUCUUCGGCAAUAGGCGAAAGUCUGACCGAGCAACGCCGCGUGAGUGAAGAAGGUUUUCGGAUCGUAAAACUCUGUUGGUAGAGAAGAACGUUGGUGAGAGUGGAAAGCUCAUCAAGUGACGGUAACUACCCAGAAAGGGACGGCUAACUACGUG